rnacentral:rRNA from 1 species
AGGUUUCCGUAGGUGAACCUGCGGAAGGAUCAUUACCGAGUGUAGGGUUCCUAGCGAGCCCAACCUCCCACCCGUGUUUACUGUACCUUAGUUGCUUCGGCGGGCCCGCCAUUCAUGGCCGCCGGGGGCUCUCAGCCCCGGGCCCGCGCCCGCCGGAGACACCACGAACUCUGUCUGAUCUAGUGAAGUCUGAGUUGAUUGUAUCGCAAUCAGUUAAAACUUUCAACAAUGGAUCUCUUGGUUCCGGCAUCGAUGAAGAACGCAGCGAAAUGCGAUAACUAGUGUGAAUUGCAGAAUUCCGUGAAUCAUCGAGUCUUUGAACGCACAUUGCGCCCCCUGGUAUUCCGGGGGGCAUGCCUGUCCGAGCGUCAUUGCUGCCCAUCAAGCACGGCUUGUGUGUUGGGUCGUCGUCCCCUCUCCGGGGGGGACGGGCCCCAAAGGCAGCGGCGGCACCGCGUCCGAUCCUCGAGCGUAUGGGGCUUUGUCACCCGCUCUGUAGGCCCGGCCGGCGCUUGCCGAACGCAAAUCAAUCUUUUUCCAGGUUGACCUCGGAUCAGGUAGGGAUACCCGCUGAACUUAAGCAUAUC